rnacentral:rRNA from 1 species
GGGGGCAACCCUGGUGGCGAGUGGCGAACGGGUGAGUAAUGCAUCGGAACGUGUCCUCUUGUGGGGGAUAACCAGUCGAAAGACUGGCUAAUACCGCAUGAGAUCGAAAGAUGAAAGCGGGGGACCGCAAGGCCUCGCGCGAGAGGAGCGGCCGAUGCCGGAUUAGCUAGUUGGUGGGGUAAUGGCCCACCAAGGCGACGAUCCGUAGCUGGUCUGAGAGGACGACCAGCCACACUGGGACUGAGACACGGCCCAGACUCCUACGGGAGGCAGCAGUGGGGAAUUUUGGACAAUGGGCGCAAGCCUGAUCCAGCCAUGCCGCGUGUGUGAAGAAGGCCUUCGGGUUGUAAAGCACUUUCGGACGGAACGAAAUCGCGCGGGUGAACAAUCCGCGUGGAUGACGGUACCGUAAGAAGAAGCACCGGCUAACUACGUGCCAGCAGCCGCGGUAAUACGUAGGGUGCAAGCGUUAAUCGGAAUUACUGGGCGUAAAGGGUGCGCAGGCGGCCUCGCAUGUCAGGCGUGAAAUCCCCGGGCUUAACUUGGGAAUGGCGCUUGAAACUACGAGGCUGGAGUGUGGCAGAGGGAGGUGGAAUUCCACGUGUAGCGGUGAAAUGCGUAGAGAUGUGGAGGAACACCGAUGGCGAAGGCAGCCUCCUGGGCCAACACUGACGCUCAUGCACGAAAGCGUGGGGAGCAAACAGGAUUAGAUACC